UUUAGAUCUUUACUGAGCCUUGCCUCCUGCCUUCUGAGGUGAUGGGGACCCAGAGGAUCUCUGAGAGAAAUGAAAAAGAAGAGAUCUAUCGGUGAUGUGUGCAGAUUUCUGUGGUGUCAAUACCCCUCAUGGCUGACCUCACACUGCGGACGAGAGGUCACUGGAGUCUGAGUCAGACUCCAGGACACCACCAACCCCAGACAUAGUCUUCAAACCACACACAUUUAGAAAAUGAGAAGCCUUUUCCAGAGGUGAAGAAAGAAAGAAAGGAAGAAAUCAAGAGCUAUAAAACGGGAAUAAAGAAGCUAUGACAGUAUCCUUUCUGUCUCUAAGUGGUCUUU